CGGGGGGAGGGAUCUUGACCAAAAAAAAAAGGAAACCCUCAAAAACAAAAACUAAGCCUUUUCUUCUCCCUUGAAGAAUCGGCCGCCCCCUUCCUUGAUUUUUUUUUUUCUCUUCCACAUCGUAGCCCCAUCUUCUUCUUCCUUUCUUGUAACUGAUCUUCCCUCUCUCAGCCCCCCUCUCAUUUCCUUCUCUCGGCCGGCGACCCCCGGCCUUCACAAAAGAGGAAAGCCAUGAUUGGUCUCUCUUGUCCACUGUCAUCUCCCCACACCGGACAAGCCCCCCUCCUCCAGUUGUUCCUCCAACGUUCACAGACUCAGAUCGAUCGGCCCUUCUCCAGCAGCACACCUACAGCGACCGUCCACCACACCGAGACCCACCGAUUUGUCCAUUCCUCCACCUCAACACUGCCAGCAACCUCCCAUCUUCGUAGUAGCUCCAGCAGUUGUAGGCAGUAGCAACAAAGCCGACUAAAGCCGACAAUCAAACCACUUCGUUCUCCUCCAUCUCCGUCAAACCAGACUCCAGGGGCUGCACAACCGUUGAUUGAAACACAUCCACCCAUCCGGCUGCCUGAAAUAGAGAAGGAGAAACCCGAAGAAAAGUAGAUCUGUGGAGACAAAAGCAGAUCCAAACAGAGAAGAAGAGAAAUAAACAGAUCCGUGAACAAGAAAGAAAGAAAUUAAAAUCCACUGCUUGAUGCGUUUUUUUUUCCUUUCUUUUAGGUUUUCUGCAGGUCACCGCUGGUGUAGGGAGGCUGAGAAGAAGAGGUUGAUACAGAUCCCCUCUGUUUCUAGGACUUUUCUGCGGCGGCGCGUGAACCCACGCACCACCAGUGGCGGUAGCGCGUGGGAAGACGCGCCGACCCCUGUUUUUUGCCCCCUG